rnacentral:rRNA from 1 species
UACGUAGGCAGCAAGCGUUGUUCGGAAUUACUGGGCGUAAAGAGUGUGUAGGCGGUGCUCCAAGUUUGGUGUGAAAUCUCCUGGCUCAACUGGGAGAGUGCGCCGAAUACUGAGAAGCUAGAGUGUGGGAGAGGAAAGUGGAAUUCCUGGUGUAGCGGUGAAAUGCGUAGAUAUCAGGAGGAACACCGGUGGUGUAAACGGCUUUCUGGACCAUAACUGACGCUGAGGCACGAAAGCGUGGGUAGCAAACAGG